rnacentral:rRNA from 1 species
UACGUAGGGGGCAAGCGUUAUCCGGAUUUACUGGGUGUAAAGGGAGCGCAGACGGCAGUGCAAGUCUGGAGUGAAAGCCCGGGGCCCAACCCCGGAACUGCUCUGGAAACUGUGCGGCUAGAGUACUGGAGGGGCAGGCGGAAUUCCUAGUGUAGCAGUGAAAUGCGUAGAUAUUAGGAGGAACACCAGUGGCGAAGGCGGCCUGCUGGACAGUAACUGACGUUGAGGCUCGAAAGCGUGGGGAGCAAACAGG